GAUGAAGAACGCAGCGAAAUGCGAUAAGUAAUGUGAAUUGCAGAAUUCAGUGAAUCAUCGAAUCUUUGAACGCACCUUGCGCUCCUUGGUAUUCCGAGGAGCAUGCCUGUUUGAGUGUCAUUAAAUUCUCAACCUCACUAGUUUUCUGAACUAGUGU
rnacentral:rRNA from 1 species